rnacentral:tmRNA from 2 species
GGGGCUGUAACGGUUUCGACAGGUUGGCGAACGUUAUGUCGUGAUGCAGGUCGAGAGCGAGCUACCUCUCGAAAAUCAAUGGCUCAACACAAUAGGUGCAAAUGAAAUUAAGCCCUUUGCUCGUAAGCAAGCACUAGCUGCUGCCUAACACCAAAAACUGGUUCGAGCGUCUGUGAUUUGACUCCGUUAAGAGUUACAGACAAACCUCAACGGAUGCUCUAGAUUAUUGCCUCUGGUCAACGAUCUAGUUAAGACUUUACCAGAGAAUCCCAUCGUCCGGGAUAAGUGACGGUUCCCGCUUCGAGGAUCAGAGAAGCUAAACCUGUGAACGAUCGGCAUGCAAAUACCCAAUUUGGACACGGGUUCGACUCCCGUCGGCUCCACUU